UAGGGAAUCUUCCGCAAUGGGCGAAAGCCUGACGGAGCAACGCCGCGUGAGUGAUGAAGGUCUUCGGAUCGUAAAACUCUGUUAUUAGGGAAGAACAAAUGUGUAAGUAACUAUGCACGUCUUGACGGUACCUAAUCAGAAAGCCACGGCUAACUACGUGCCAGCAGCCGCGGUAAUACGUAGGUGGCAAGCGUUAUCCGGAAUUCUUGGGCGUAAAGCGCGCGUAGGCGGUUUUUUAAGUCUGAUGUGAAAGCCCACGGCUCAACCGUGGAGGGUCAUUGGAAACUGGAAAACUUGAGUGCAGAAGAGGAAAGUGGAAUUCCAUGUGUAGCGGUGAAAUGCGCAGAGAUAUGGAGGAACACCAGUGGCGAAGGCGACUUUCUGGUCUGUAACUGACGCUGAUGUGCGAAAGCGUGGGGAUCAAACAGG
rnacentral:rRNA from 1 species